rnacentral:lncRNA from 14 species
CAUUCCAGCAACAGCUGGAGGAACGGUGGAAGAGCGGCCUUGAGCAGCUCAAGGAAACGGCGCCGCCAACGGAAGCCGACGAUGCAGCUGGGAUUAGGAAGCAGCUGCUGGCAGAUUUCCAGUGCCUGUCUUGUGACAGGCAACUCAGCAUGCGGGUGCCUGGCUCGUGAGUAGCUCCCAGCACAGGGGCAUAAGGAGUCUGCAUGGGUGGGAUGGGUGGAGACGGGUGCUGGUGGUGUUCCAGACCAGGCAUGGGGUUCGGGGUGUCUGCCUGUGAGGGUCCGAUCCUGCCCAGCAGCCUCCACAGGCCUGCCCGUCAGCGGCAGGAUUAGGAACCCUCCCUGAGGGCAGCAGGCAGGGCAUGCCGUGAGGUACAAGCCUAUGGGGUUUGGGGUGCUGCCAUGAGCCAGGGUGGGUCAUUUGUCUCCUGACACCCACUGAUGGCUCUUGCCCUCCCCAGGCCUAUCCCGCCAAUCCCGCCCUCUCCACCGCUGGUCCCUCACGUCGCUGGACAAUCCCAGCCUGUUGGAAAGAUGGAGCAAACACACAGGGAGCGGAUGGCGGCAUGCAAGUACCCCACCGUGCCACGGCAGUGUGGGGGCCAGCGUACCCUCACACCCCUGCCGCAGCGCAGCCUGCGCCUCCCACUUCUCCAGCCCAGCGCCCCACAGGCACUCAGGCCCUCCAGCCCGCGCCUCCCACUUCUCCAGCCCAGCGCCCCACAGGCACUCAGGCCCUCCAGCCCGCGCCUCCCACUUCUCCAGCCCAGCGCCCCACAGGCACUCAGGCCCUCCAGCCUGCUCCCCAGCAAGCAUGACAAGAAAGAGCAGCUGGGCCAGGACAGCCGCAGGGCUGAGCCCAGCCCCUCAGCACCCGGCACCUCUGGCCCUCUGCAAGACAGGUCGGGCUCAUCCCACAGCCAGCCUCGCCGAGUACACUGGCCCCACCAGCCCGUCCAGCCCCACUGGAUGGCUGAGGUAACCCAGCAGCGGGGCAGGACUGGGGGUCACCGGCUGAAUCCCAGCGCCCCGGCACCCGGGCUGGCGAGGAAGUAGCUCCCGGCAGCAGCAAUAAAAGGUGAUGCUCAGCAAAGCA